rnacentral:rRNA from 1 species
UACAGAGGGUGCGAGCGUUAAUCGGAAUUACUGGGCGUAAAGCGCGCGUAGGCGGCUUUGCAAGUCGAGUGUGAAAUCCCCAGGCUUAACCUGGGAACUGCAUUCGAGACUGCAUAGCUAGAGUAUGGGAGAGGGAAGUGGAAUUCCAGGUGUAGCGGUGAAAUGCGUAGAUAUCGGGAGGAACACCUGUGGCGAAGGCGGCCCCCUGGUUGGAUACUGACGCUGAUACGCGAAAGCGUGGGGAGCAAACAGG